rnacentral:sRNA from 1 species
AGCCUCCUUCAGGCCAUCUGACAUCCCUGAUGAUGCUUACCGUGUGCUGCUUCUCUGUUGUGGCAGUUUGCUGGGAUGGAGUCAGGCUAUGCUUGCUUCUGUGGAAACAAUCCUGAUUACUGGAAGUACGGGGAGGCAGCCAGUACCGAAUGCAACAGUGUCUGCUUCGGGGAUCACACCCAACCCUGUGGUGGCGAUGGCAGGAUCAUCCUCUUUGAUACUCUCGUCGGCGCCUGCGGUGGGAACUACUCAGCCAUGUCUUCUGUGGUCUAUUCCCCUGACUUCCCUGACACCUAUGCCACGGGGAGGGUCUGCUACUGGACCAUCCGGGUUCCGGGGGCCUCCCACAUCCACUUCAGCUUCCCCCUAUUUGACAUCAGGGACUCGGCGGACAUGGUGGAGCUUCUGGAUGGCUACACCCACCGUGUCCUAGCCCGCUUCCACGGGAGGAGCCGCCCACCUCUGUCCUUCAAUGUCUCUCUGGACUUCGUCAUCUUGUAUUUCUUCUCUGAUCGCAUCAAUCAGGCCCAGGGAUUUGCUGUUUUAUACCAAGCCGUCAAGGAAGAACUGCC